CCAGUCCAUAAUUUAGCAACCUUUGCUAAGGUAACCUUUAUUCUUAUUUGCCAUUAUCAAACACAAAUACUUACACCAAUAGAGUUCAGACUACUUCUUCAACUAAAUUGUAAUGUUCCAAUGACAGGUUAAUCAUUUACUCUACUGGAUGUUUACUAUGUGUUGAAUUCUCAGCCAAGCCUCACGAAUAAAAAGAGCAAACAUGCAGACAAAUAGUUAUAAUAUAGUUCCAAUAAGUACAGAAUUUGGAAUAUGUACAAGAUAUCUUGAUGGACCAGAGAAGGGAGUAGACAACUGUUCCUGAGGGAAAUCUGGGAAGGGUUCAUGGAGCUGGCAAUUUCUGAGGCUUUAUGUUGCCUGUAUUCUGAGCAACGAAUGAUUGAAAACAGCGAGGAAUUCUGGAGAUAGACAUCGGAACACCUCUUCUUAGAAGAUCACAUUAUUCAGAAUCCUUAAUGAUUCUUACCUUUUGAAUGACAGAUUUUUAGUGGACAUAAAAACUGCUAAUGAAAGUAGGAUGGUUAGAACUGUUGACAUUUUACGUGAAGGCAUUGCAACUGGGCAAAACAUAUUCAAAACAUCAGGUAGUAUUUUGUUCACUGUGCACCGAAGGCAGAUGACUUCAUUAACUGGUGACAAUUUUACCAAUCCUGGAAGCUUUGAUCUUGAGGGGAAACGAUCCUGCAUAGUAGACAAGUUUAUUGGCAAUAGAUGACCUGGUAGUAAACAGUGGAGUUCACAGCUGAAACUGCACCCUGUGCCCGCCCUUUCCCAACAUGCUGUGAUGCAUUUUGAGCUCUUCCAUUUUAGCUUCCAUUAUCCACCACCCAAGUUCUCAAUUCAAUUUCAGACUCGGGCAAAAGCCUGUAAUUCUAUUUGUUUUGGGUAAAUUUAGCAAGCUGCUCCUGAUUACACCUUAGCCAGAGACCAUCUGUUGACUGGCGUGCCUCUCUGAGGAGUGGUUCCUGUAGGCAAUGAAUGGGAAGAGGGUUGGAGUGCUGCUGCUAUUAGUAAGCAGAUGCACCGUAUCAGAGAUAGUCCUUCCCGCCUUUCAAUCUGCCAGCUCUCUGUAUUGAUGGAGUGUCGUAUGCCUGCGAGUCGUUCCAUCCUGAGGCAAUGAGAAGUGCUCUCCUAGGGUCCAUUUAUCAAGUGCUUCUACUGGCAUUUGAUGGAAAGGAAUUUAGAAGUCAUAGUUUGAUACACUUCGAGCACGGCCACGUUCUCCUUUGCACGUCCUGAGUAUGUAUGUAUGUGUGUGUAUAUAUCAACCCCAUGUACAUGCUUUUCAGCAGUUAUGUGCUGUCAAAAGCCCCACAGAUGAAACAACAAGAUACAGCUGUGCUUCGUAAUGUAAUGAGUAAACCGCCACAGCAAUUGUGUCAGGAUCACAAUUCUUUAAGGCACUGCUUCCUAAAAUGAUUGCCGGUUCAUUUGCAUCAGAUAGGGAAGAUGUGCUAGAUAAAUUCAGAAUGUCGAGGAACAGUUUGAUGUUGACUGUGGCAUGAUGAGGGAUCUUUCUAAAUGAUGAUACUGUUAGCUCGUGGCUAAGACGAGACUGGUCUAAACACAACAGAGACGGCAGUUUCCUGUUGCAGUGAGUCAUGAGAGGAAAUGGAUAAAAUGAACAUAAAUUAACUGCAUUUCGUUUUCUAAGAGUUGGAGAGGGAAGGGAAGGAGGCAGUGGAUGGCCAGUGUGCCUGAAAACUGGAAUUAGAUCGGUGAACUGAGAGGAUUGGUUUCUGCCCUACGUUGGGUGAAGAGGGGCAGUCCUCAUUGCUAACAGCCGCAGGUUGGUGUAAUUAACUAACUUCCGUAGGCAAUGCCCGGUGUACAUCUUGAAAACCCAUCAGAUGGGGUAUUUCUCACUGACAUCAGCUUUUAAAGGGAGGAGGGCUCAUAGUUGUAUCACAGCUGCAGUACUUUUCUUUAAGGCAAGAAACAGUUUAAAUCAGAGAAAAUUUCACAGGAUUCUAGAUCGACUACUUUUUUCAUCUAGUUCUAUUAUUUUGACCUUAUGGCCGUUUUUUGUUUGUUUAAUGGCGUGAAUUAAAGUGUGACAUUUCUGUCCAUCUUUUCACGUACAAAAUCAGCAUUCGUUAAUUCAGGUUAUGAAAAUAAUUGCUGCUUCAACAAAGUGAGGCUUAAAAUACCACAACAGAAAUGUAGCCGAUAGUAUGUAUCUUAACUUUUAGUUUAUAAUGACUGUAUUAAAAUGAUAUUACAGUUUUAAGUUUUUCAAACAAAUAGUGAAUGGUUGUGCAAAAUAAGACACUGAAAUAUUUUUUAAAGAAUUAAAAUCACAAAUGUUGAAUGAGAAAAAUAGUUUCUGAGAAUUUCUUUGCUAAAUCAGGGCAAUUUGGUUUAUUGCCAAACUGAUUAAGGAGGGGCUGAUUUCAUAAGCUAUAAUAUCUGUACUUUUAUGUCAUCUCUGAUAUAACAGUAUAUAAUGUAUUUAAGACUGCAGAUCAUCAUUAAACCACAUAAUGAUUGUUACACAGAUAAAAUAAGAAGCUUAAUUUGUAGCUAAAGACUGUAUCUUAUUGAUUGUAUAGUUGAUGUUGUGUUGUGCAGGAGGUAAGAAAUAUCCUAAGUAAGAAACAGAAUAUUUUAAAAAAAUAUUUACAAAAUCAUAUAGUUGAGUCAAUAUCUAUAAGUGAGGCUUAAUCCAUGCAAAUAAAUUGUUUUAACAAGGGCCUGUGGCUUUAAGAAUGACACUUGAUCUAUAUGCUGUAGAAGGCUUGUAGAAGUUGUCCUCAUAUUAGUUUAUACUAUG
rnacentral:lncRNA from 1 species